rnacentral:lncRNA from 1 species
UUAUUCAAAUCCAUUAAAUCGAUAAGUGUAGUACCUCACAACAAUCGGAUGAAUGCCGGAAUCAAGGAGCGUUUGACACUAUUUUAAAAACGCACCAACGAUUACGACGACGGUGGUGGUUCCAUCACCCGGCGACGACGUCUUUAGAUUUGGAAAGCUCAACAAGCAUCUUAGCGGCGGUUUGAUCAAUAAGCAAAAAAUGUAGUAAUAUAUCUCUUCAAACGCCCUGAUCGCCGUAUAAACCAAAGGCCUAAUCACCGUAUGGAGCAACAGUCGUUCCACAAUCUCUUCGAACGCCGCCUGUUCAUCAAGUCCAAAACUCCUGCUGUUAAGUGGUUCAAAGAAUGUGAGUGGUGGUGGUGAUGGCAGCAAGUGAUGUUAAGUGGAUGGUGGUGGUGAUUGUAGAUCAGAUGCUGAUGGCAAAUGGGAGAGAGAGGUGAGAGAUAUAUCUAAUUUUUAAUUUCUAGUUUUUAAUUUUUUUUAAUGGUUAGGUAUUUAAUUUAUUUACACAACUAGUCCCUGAAAAGUGAAAUGAAAAUAAUACCCCCAUGAAGUCACAUGAUUAGAUUUAACAGAAAAAUCUAACUGGGUUAGGGUUAAAGGACAUGACGUGCAAGAUUUAAAACAUUAAGUACAAGACUCGUCAAUUUGAAAGAUAAAGGACACCGCCUAAAAUUAACUAUAAAGAUGAGGGACAAAACUUGAAAUUCAACUCAUAAUACAUUUGAUGAUGGUAUACGUGUAAUUCACUCUCCAUUUUACGACGCUUAACACAACUUUUGAUAGGUAGAAUACAAGUGCUUCAUGCAAUAGUUCCUAAUUUGCCAUCACUUAGUCUAAUUAAUAAUGAUAUACACAAAUAAUGUAUUAAUUAUGAUAAGUUGAUUAAAUAAUGUAUUAAUUAGGAGAAGAGUGGAUAAUUUAGGAACUAUUGUAUAGAGCACUUGUAUCCUAGGGACGGCAAUUCUUGACAUGACCCGUUAACCUGACCCGAACCCGACAUGAAAAAAAUAGGUUUAGGUUGACUAACACAACCCGUUUAAAAAACCGGGCCGGGUUCGGGUUGACCCGUAUUAAAAACGUGUCCGGUUCGGGUUGAUCCGUAUAAAAACGGUUGACCCAUUAACCCGUUGAACUAUUUAGAUAAAAUAUCUUUUAUUUUUUUUUUGUUUUUUAGGUUUCUAUUUUACAUGGUUAGUUAUAAAAAUGUUAAUUUUGACACAUUAUAUUAUUUAUUUAUCACACUCAUAAUCAUCAUUAAACAUGUUAUCGAUAACCCGCUUACAACUAACAACUAGUUUAUAAAUCAUCAACUUAUAUCACUCAUUUAAAAAUUUGGGUUAAACGGGUCUUGUUCGGGUUGACCCGAAUUAAUAUGGGUCGGGUUAGGCUUGAAAUCUUUGACCCAAAUAAUAAUAUGGGUCGAUUCAGGUUGAACAUUUCAACCCACCAACCUGUCGACCCGUAACCCGUCAACCCAUCAACCCAACACGAUUGCUACCCCUAUUGUAUCCUACGCAUCAAAAGUUGUCUUAGACGUCUUAAAAUAGAGAAUAACUAGAAAAGUGGCCCGCGCGCGUUGCACUGCGGGCAAAGAAAUUGACCACACGUCAACAACGUGUAAUCGAUCAGAGUUACAAACUCCGGUUAAUUAACCUCCGGAUCAUACUUUGUAGUAAGUAGUAACUAUAACUACAAUGUUAUAUGUAUAUUAAUAAUUGUGUACGUUAAUAGACACAUGUUGACAACAAAUAAUUCAAUAACUGUUUCUUUAACAAGCAACUAAAGUCCCAAAAACCGGUAGGAAUUCAGUUAAUAUCGAUGAACGCACUAUACCAACUGUUUAAACUAAAAUUCAAGCAUUAUUCAACCCAAAACUGGUGUUCUUACUAUUGAACUAAAAUAAGGUCAAGCAUGUGGAAAACCAAAUAGUACUUUUGGUUGAUAAACUAAUAUCCUAGUGAUUACAAAGCCUUCAUAUUUGAUCAGACAACAUCUUUUCGAGUAGCAUCUGCUCAAAAUGGCAAUCUCCUGAGAUUUAAAGAAUUUUAUAUACUCAAUAUCAAGUGACAAAUUUUCUAGGAAUAAGUUACCAUGUCCUUCCUAAAAUCAAAUAAUGAAAGGUCAGUAAAUAUAUCAUAUUAGCAUCAGAACAUACCUUGAUUAACUCGAUUAUAAAUCUUCUCGAAGAAUUGGAUGUAUCAUCACCAGCAUACUCUGAACUUUUAGAUGGUGGUGCGGAGUAAAUGACAUAAGGGAAUUUAUCGUCCCAUUGAACUCCCUCUAAAUUUGGAUUAAUACCCAUUUAAUAAGCUCGUCAUUGUAGUCAGUAGUAACUGUCUCCCUGGUAAUUUGGCAUCCUGGGUAUUCCUACCAGAAGAAUGGCAGCAUGAGACAACUUUAAGGUUUUCUAAAUAAAAAUAACUAUAAAGUCACCUA